rnacentral:rRNA from 1 species
UUGAAGUUAGCGGAUGACCUGUGGAUCGGAGUGAAAGGCUAAUCAAGCUCGGAGAUAGCUGGUUCUCCUCGAAAGCUAUUUAGGUAGCGCCUCAUGUCUCACCUUGGGGGGUAGAGCACUGUUUCGGCUAGGGGGUCAUCCCGACUUACCAACCCGAUGCAAACUCCGAAUACCCAAGAGUGCAAUCAUGGGAGACACACGGCGGGUGCUAACGUCCGUCGUGAAAAGGGAAACAACCCAGACCGCCAGCUAAGGUCCCAAACUUCUAGUUAAGUGGGAAACGAUGUGGGAAGGCUCAGACAGCUAGGAGGUUGGCUUAGAAGCAGCCAUCCUUUAAAGAAAGCGUAAUAGCUCACUAGUCGAGUCGGCCUGCGCGGAAGAUAUAACGGGGCUCAAACUAGAGACCGAAGCUGCGGAUGCGUUUAACGCAUGGUAGAGGAGCGUUCUGUAAGCUGUUGAAGCGGAAGCUGUAAGGCACCGUGGAGGUAUCAGAAGUGCGAAUGUUGACAUAAGUAACGAUAAAGGGAGUGAAAAACUCCCUCGCCGGAAGACCAAGGGUUCCUAUCCAACGUUAAUCGGGGUAGGGUGAGUCGACCCGUAAGAUGAGGCUGAAAAGCGUAAUCGAUGGGAAGCAGGUUAAUAUUCCUGCACCUCGCAUAGCUGCGAUGGAGAGACGGAGAAGGCUAGGCUAGCGCGGCGUUGGUUGUCCGCGUUUAAGGAUGUAGGUUUGGAACUUAGGCAAAUCCGGGUUCCUAUAUGACUGAGAUCUGAUGACGAGCUCCUAUAUGGAGUGAAGUAGUUGAUGCCCGGCUUCCAGGAAAAUCUUCUAAGCUUCAGGCUAUGUGGGAUCGUACCCCAAACCGACACAGGUGGUCAGGUUGAGAAUACCAAGGCGCUUGAGAGAACUCGGGUGAAGGAACUAGGCAAAAUGGCACCGUAACUUCGGGAGAAGGUGCGCCGGUUUUGGUGAUGGGACUUGCUCCCUAAGCUGAGGCCGGUCGAAGAUACCAGGUGGCUGCGACUGUUUAUUAAAAACACAGCACUCUGCAAACACGAAAGUGGACGUAUAGGGUGUGACGCCUGCCCGGUGCUUGAAGGUUAAUUGAUGGGGUUAGCGUAAGCGAAGCUCUUGAUCGAAGCCCAAGUAAACGGCGGCCGUAACUAUAACGGUCCUAAGGUAGCGAAAUUCCUUGUCGGGUAAGUUCCGACCUGCACGAAUGGCGUAACGAUGGCCACACUGUCUCCACCCGAGACUCAGUGAAAUUGAACUCGCUGUGAAGAUGCAGCGUACCCGCGGCUAGACGGAAAGACCCCGUGAACCUUUACUAUAGCUUCACACUGGACUUUGACCUUACUUGUGUAGGAUAGCUGGGAGGCUUUGAAACUUGGACGCCAGUUCAAGUGGAGCCGAUCUUGAAAUACCAGCCUGGUAACGUUGAAGUCCUAACUCAGGUCCCUGAUCGGGAUCGAGGACAGUGUGUGGUGGGUAGUUUGACUGGGGCGGUCUCCUCCCAAAGAGUAACGGAGGAGCACGA